rnacentral:sRNA from 1 species
GCUGGGCACAGUGGUGUAUGCCUAUAAUCCUAGCAGUUUGGGAGGCUAAGGCAGGAGGAUCACAAGUUCGGAGCCAACCUCAGCAAUUUAGCAAGGCCCUAAGAAACUCAGUGAGACCCUGUCUCUA